AAUGUCGUAACAAGGUUUCCGUAGGUGAACCUGCGGAAGGAUCAUUACAAAGUAAAUGCUGGUAGGAAGUGGGGUCGUUGAUCUGUAAGUGGUAGAGCGAAGCAGUCCGGCUGCCUCCCCGAAAAUGUCUUACAUGUCCCCACCACCUGCAUGGCAGGCAUGAUCACAACCUUGAUUAUCUACACUUGUUGCUUUUGGGGAUGCUCAAGGUCCCCGAGAGGACCCAACUCUCUUGCAUUUAGUGACGUCUGAGUACUAUAUAAUAUUUUGAAAAGC
rnacentral:misc_RNA from 1 species